rnacentral:sRNA from 1 species
UGUCUUGGGCUGCACACGUGCUACAAUGGCCGGUACAAAGAGCUGCGAUGCCGUGAGGCGGAGCGAAUCUCAAAAAGCCGGUCUCAGUUCGGAUUGGGGUCUGCAACUCGACCCCAUGAAGUCGGAGUUGCUAGUAAUCGCAGAUCAGCAUUGCUGCGGUGAAUACGUUCCCGGGCCUUGUACACACCGCCCGUCACGUCACGAAAGUCGGUAACACCCGAAGCCGGUGGCCCAACCCCUUGUGGGAGGGAGCUGUCGAAGGUGGGACUGGCGAUUGGGACGAAGUCGUAACAAGGUAGCCGUACCGGAAGGUGCGGCUGGAUCACCUCCUUUCUAAGGAGCACAGUACCGAUUGCAGGCAAACGUUCUGCACGGUCAGCUCAUGGGUGGAACGUUGAUUAGUUGGCACAGUCUCUCUCCGAGAAACCGUUAGUACUGCUUCGGCGUGGAAAACGGGCUUCGAGGAACGGACUGUGCUUGGCACGUUGUUGGGUGUCUGAGGGUACGGCCGUAAGGUUUGUAUCUUCGCGAUGCCGGCCCCAGUGCACUCAUCUGCUUGUCGGAUGGGGUGAUGGGUGGCUGGUCGUUGCUUGAGAACUACACAGUGGACGCGAGCAUCUGUGGCCAAGUUUUUUAAGGGCGC